GGAGCUUGCUCCCUGAUGUUAGCGGCGGACGGGUGAGUAACACGUGGGUAACCUGCCUGUAAGACUGGGAUAACUCCGGGAAACCGGGGCUAAUACCGGAUGGUUGUUUGAACCGCAUGGUUCAGACAUAAAAGGUGGCUUCGGCUACCACUUACAGAUGGACCCGCGGCGCAUUAGCUAGUUGGUGAGGUAACGGCUCACCAAGGCGACGAUGCGUAGCCGACCUGAGAGGGUGAUCGGCCACACUGGGACUGAGACACGGCCCAGACUCCUACGGGAGGCAGCAGUAGGGAAUCUUCCGCAAUGGACGAAAGUCUGACGGAGCAACGCCGCGUGAGUGAUGAAGGUUUUCGGAUCGUAAAGCUCUGUUGUUAGGGAAGAACAAGUGCCGUUCAAAUAGGGCGGCACCUUGACGGUACCUAACCAGAAAGCCACGGCUAACUACGUGCCAGCAGCCGCGGUAAUACGUAGGUGGCAAGCGUUGUCCGGAAUUAUUGGGCGUAAAGGGCUCGCAGGCGGUUUCUUAAGUCUGAUGUGAAAGCCCCCGGCUCAACCGGGGAGGGUCAUUGGAAACUGGGGAACUUGAGUGCAGAAGAGGAGAGUGGAAUUCCACGUGUAGCGGUGAAAUGCGUAGAGAUGUGGAGGAACACCAGUGGCGAAGGCGACUCUCUGGUCUGUAACUGACGCUGAGGAGCGAAAGCGUGGGGAGCGAACAGGAUUAGAUACCCUGGUAGUCCACG
rnacentral:rRNA from 2 species